GGCGCUGUAGUGUAGCGGUUAUCACUCAAGAUUCUGAUAUCAUCCGAGUUCCUGUAACCCCGGUUCGAUUCCGGGCAGUGCCU
rnacentral:tRNA from 1 species